rnacentral:lncRNA from 1 species
CUUUAAUAGCACUGGUCACAAUCUCCAACUCUCUGAUUCACUAAUUCAUUCUCUCAUUCAUUAAUUCAUGCUCUCAUUUCCUGCCUCCUACACCAUAAUAGCAGCACUAUGAGGGUGACAGCAUUGUGAAUCCAGCUUACUCCUCCCACAGCACUUAGAGCAGAUUCUUGGCACAGAAGGUACUCUAUGAAUUUGACUUGAAUGAAUGAAGUCACAUUCGAUUAUGAGAAGAAGAAACCUUUCUCAGUUCUAAAACACAUUUUUAUUGAUUUGAACUGGGCUGCAUCUUACAACAGAUGAGCAUAUUUGGUGCUGUAUUUCACUCCCACUUCUCCCUGAAAAGCUGUUAGUACAUUGGGGUGCUCAUGGAGUAAAUUGUGUCUUAGCACCAAGGAGGGACAACAAACAUGAUUCUGAGCAGAGCUUUGCUGCCUGUAUCCAGGAUGGUUUUGCUGAGCAAUGAGAAGGAAGGAGGCACAUCAAAGGGGAUGGAAUAAGGAAACCAGUGCCCAGAAAUGAUUAGAAGGAACAGAGAGGCAUGAAGGACAUCAGGAGAAGGCAGGACCAGCCCCAACGGUCUUCAUCUGGGACCAGGGAACGAUGCGGCGGGGAGCCCCUCCCCCUGGGCGUCUGCGGGCGGCAUUUUUAGCUGCAUAUAGUAUCCGAGCGAGGAGGGAGAGGGAGAGAGACGGACGCGAAGUUGGGUGUUUUUCCGAUGCAUUAAUUAUUUUUUUUAAAAGGGAGGGGUGGGGACCAAAGUUCAAGACACGCCAGCAGACACAGGUGCGCUGCGGCGGCCGCUGGUCCGGCGCGGCCGUUCCCGGGUUCGCGGACACCCGCCGCGCGCCUCACCUGGCUGCGCACCUGAGCGGGCCCCGCGGCUCGGCGCCCCCUCGGCUCCCCGGCGUCGGGCCGCCUCCCUCGCGCCUGUGGAACUUGCUGGAGUUCGGCCCCUCCCAGGACGCGAGUGGUCCCGAGAACAGCUGACAGAUUCUAUGUGAGGAGGAAGGACCUGGAAGGAAGAUGGUGGCCCUGCCAGCAGAGGGCUGUUAGGGAGACGUGGCUCGGAGGAAGGCCAGAACCACUGCAGCCCACCCAGGCCUGGGUGUAUUCCAGGUGAGAUACAGAAUAAAAUCAGCUCCCACCUCCCUGUACUGGUAUGA